CCCCGCCCUAUUUUGUAUUUUAUUUAGAGACAGGGUCUCAACUGAGUUGCUUGGUGCCUCACUUUUGCUGUGGCUGGUUUUGAACUCCUGAUCCUCCUGCUUCAGCCUCCCAAACUGCUGGGAUUACAGGUGUGCACCGCUGUGCCCAGCUGCCAAACUUCCUAGGAUCAAAUCAGUUCUUUUCCAUGGGGUUGGCUAAAAGCUCUUCUCAUUUAUGGAUAUUUUCAACUAAUUAACAAAUAUACUAGACUUGAAUUUAAGGCUGGGCUCAGUGGCGUGUACUGUAAUCCUAGUGACUCAGGAGCAUAAGACAUUCUGAAAGAUUAAGCAUAUGCCACAUUCUGCAUGUGCUGAUAUAAUAGGCUGAAGCGUGAAAAUAUAUGCAAGGUGAAAUGGAUCCAUUGGGCCAGUCUUUGAAUAACUAUAAAACAACUUUAUCUUAUCAGAAUAAAGAAGACUGAAAGUCUCCAUGUGAUAUUCAUUAGUCAGAGGUUUUCAAAGUUCCAUUAUGUUUAUCAAAAUAAGCAUUGUGGUUGUGAUUGGCAGUGAUUAUUAAUAGUAAUUGACUAAGGAUCUUUCUCCGUAAGAGAAUCUGAAUAGAAAAGUCAGCCAUAUAAUCCUAUCAUUCAAGUCUCAAACUCUGGUUUUUGUUUAAUGUUUCCAGAUCUCAGGUCUGCACGUUUUCUAUGCAUCCGGUUCUGAAGUUGAUACUUUCAAGGAUUAAAGAAAUUUUAGCUAGGUGCAUUGGCACAUGCCUGUAAUCCCAGCAGUUCAGGAGACUCAUUGCAGGAGGAUCACAAACUCAAGGCCAGCCUCAGCAGUUUAAAUCCACAGUGCAUGGAUGGAUGGAUGGAUGGAUGGAUGGAUGGAUGGAUGGAUAGAUAGAUAUGUAGGUCAGUUGUAACGUGCCCCUGGGGUCAGUCCCCAGUACAAAAAAACGGUUGAGGAUAUAGCUUACUGGUAGAGCACUUGCUAGCAUGCACAAAGCACUAGGUUCAAGCCACUGCACUACAAAAAAAAAAAGCAUUUUCUACUUUGGCUUAAGUAGAUAAUAUUAAAUAAAAUUAAACAGAUUUAAAUAUU
rnacentral:lncRNA from 1 species